rnacentral:rRNA from 1 species
AUUGAACGCUGGCGGCAUGCUUUACACAUGCAAGUCGAACGGUAACAGGCCUUCGGGUGCUGACGAGUGGCGCACGGGUGAGUAAUGCAUCGGAACGUGCCCAGAGGUGGGGGAUAACGCAGCGAAAGCUGUGCUAAUACCGCAUGUGAUCUGAGGAUGAAAGCGGGGGACCAGGCAGCAAUGUUUGGCCUCGCGCCUUUGGAGCGGCCGAUGUCAGAUUAGGUAGUUGGUGGGGUAAAGGCCUACCAAGCCGACGAUCUGUAGCUGGUCUGAGAGGACGACCAGCCACACUGGGACUGAGACACGGCCCAGACUCCUACGGGAGGCAGCAGUGGGGAAUUUUGGACAAAGGGCGCAAGCCUGAUCCAGCAAUGCCGCGUGCGGGAAGAAGGCCUUCGGGUUGUAAACCGCUUUUGUACGGAACGAAAAGGCUCUGGCAAAUACCUGGGGCUGAUGACGGUACCGUAAGAAUAAGCACCGGCUAACUACGUG